UACGGAGGAUCCGAGCGUUAUCCGGAUUUAUUGGGUUUAAAGGGUGCGCAGGCGGGAGAUUAAGUCGGCGGUGAAAUUUUGCAGCUCAACUGUAAAAGUGCCUUCGAAACUGGUUUCCUUGAGUGUGGAUGAAGUAGGCGGAAUUUGUGGUGUAGUGGUGAAAUGCAUAGAUAUCACGAGGAACUCCGAUUGCGCAGGCAGCUUACUAAACUACUACUGACGCUCAGGCACGAAGGCGUGGGGAUCAAACAGGAUUAGAUACCCGUGUA
rnacentral:rRNA from 1 species